GAACUCCUGACCUCAGCCAAUCCACCUGCCUCGGCCUCCUAAAGUGCUGGGAUUACAGGGGUGAGCCCCCACGCCCGGCCAGACCUUCCCAUUUCUGGUCAGGACUGACCCUGGGAUGAACUGACCUCCUUGAAGUGUAGAGGCGUCCUGGUUGUCUGGGGACUUUGGGUGGGAUCUCUGCCGGGUUUGCCUGCAGUGGAAGGAAAGGGAAGUGACUUAUCUUGGGCACCUGCUUUGACAAGGCACUGAGCUGAGGAUGUCCACAUGCAUCUGCUAAUUUAAUCCUGACAGUGGUCCUGAAAAGAUGCUUUCCCCAUUUUCCAUGUGGGGAGACUAAAGCUCAGAGAGGUCACUAGCCUGCCCGGGGGUGGCAUUGCCAGCGAGGGGUGAGCUCAUAUUGAGUCCGGGUCUGUGUGACCCUACAGCCGUGCCCUUGCCACUAUGCCGUUCCUGCCCCCCUGGCUGGUUGUGUUCUGCCCACUUCUAAGAAUGAUUUCCAGUGGCUUGCAAAGGUACAGUUAGCACGGUUUGACAAGCAGGGCGUGAAGCUGGGAGUUAGUGGGAACGAAGAGGAAAGAAAGUGAGAGGAGGCUGGGCAUGGUGGCUCACACUGUAAUCCCAGCACUUUGGGAGACAGAGGAAGGAGGAUCAGUGGAGCCCAGGAGUUCAGGGUCAGCCUGGGCAACAUAGGGAGACCCCAUCUCUAUUGUGAAAAUAAACUGUAGAUAAAGUGAGAGGAAAAGGCAGUUAGAACCAGAAAUAGACAACUAUCCAAAGUUCCCCAGACCCUGUGUACUUACGUCAUAAAGAUGAGACACAGACUUGAUUAUGAGCUUCCUAGCAACCAAUGCAAAAAGGGCAAACAGAGAAGUCAUGUGACUCACACUGUCCACAAGCUCAAAACAAAGCAUGCGUUGAGGGAAAGCACAGCUCCUCUGGUGUUGGUUUAAAAAAAAAAAAAAAAAAAUGUUCUCCCCAAGAUCCUCGUGAAAGAAGUCACUUGGUUUUUUUGCUGCUUACAAGUUGCUGGCAACCAAGUGCCACUGGCAUGUAUGUGACAGCUUCAUAGAGGCAGUAUUACAUUUAUCUGAAGGAAGACAAGCGGAUGUACAGGUCCAUUUUGGGGAGUGGAUACACCUCUUUCUAAAGGUAGAGGAACUUCUCUCUGGAUUGGUGAGGUGUGGGUGAUUUCAGAUACUGAUGUUCUGAGUUCGGAUACAGAGCAAAUGUGGCUUGUAAAGUACUGGUCAUUAGAACCAGAGAAUGAACUUCAUCCCUGUCUUUUAAAUCUGGUUCAUUCCCUCUUUUUAGAUACUUACUAUUUGGGGACAAAGAGAGCUCUAAGAAUUGUCUUGGCCCUUAGGGAUGGCAUCAGACCUGGCUGGGUUUCAGGGAUCUGUUGGAGAGAGAAGGUUGUGUCACGGAGCCCGCAUCAAAAACGGCCUUGAAGAGGGCCACGAGCACGGACGACCCGGGGAGGGCCCUGACCACUGACUGCCCCUGCCCCCUUGCUCCUCCUUUGGCCUUUUCUCUCUGUCGGUGGCCCUUUCUGCUGUAUUCACGCAGUGGCAUGUGCCCUCCCCACGUCCUGUGUCUUCAUGUGCUGGGGUUCAGCCGCCAAGGGGGAGAAAGCCUUUCUGUCAGGGAAGGACUCUGGCCCCGAUGCCUCUUCCUCCAGGGCAGUCCACCGUGGUAGGUGAGAGAAGAGGCCACUCCUAGAGAAAGAGACAUUGUCUGUACAUGUCAGGAGGGGUGCUGGGAGCUCGCCACAUGGUAACCAACAGACACAGCCCUCCUCGGCAUUCCAGGUUGCAUCCUGGUGCCUCGAUGACUUUCUGUUACCACUGACCCAGGGCAGGGUUUUAAAGAGUGACAUUAAGGCGAAAAGUUCUGGACCUCAUUACUGACCAGUGCAGCCAGGCACUGCCUUCCUUUUUGAUUCUAAAAAUGACACUUGGGUUUUAGAGUGUUGCUUUUCAAGUAGCCGAAAACCCCGCAUGCGCCUUCUGGUACAUUUCAGGAGAGAAGAAUCCAGGCGAUCCAUGGUAUUCUUGCCCGGGUCCCGGAAUCCAUCAGAGCGCAUGUGGGGCUUCAGCAAAGCCAGGCCUGCUUUUCCUGGCAGAGGCUGGGCCCUGUAAGCCUGAAUGCGCCUCCCAGCCCUUCCUCACCCAGCACCCGUGACCCACUGGGUCACAGUGACCCACAUCCCACGGCUCUGGCCACAGCUGGACUCAUCUCACACUCACAUAUAAUCAUGGCCCCUAGAAGGCACGUGUUUUUAAUGAGAGGCUCUUUUCCA